CCUGGUUCAGAACGAACGCUGGCGGCAGGCCUAACACAUGCAAGUCGAGCGCGCCUCUUCGGAGGCGAGCGGCGCACGGGUGAGUAACGCGUGGGAACCUACCCUGGGGUAGGGGAUAACCGCUGGAAACGGCGGCUAAUACCCUAUACGUCCUUCGGGAGAAAGAUUUAUUGCCCUGGGAUGGGCCCGCGUUGGAUUAGCUUGUUGGUGGGGUAAAAGCCUACCAAGGCGACGAUCCAUAGCUGGUCUGAGAGGAUGAUCAGCCACACUGGGACUGAGACACGGCCCAGACUCCUACGGGAGGCAGCAGUGGGGAAUAUUGGACAAUGGGCGCAAGCCUGAUCCAGCCAUGCCGCGUGAGUGAAGAAGGCCUUAGGGUUGUAAAGCUCUUUCACCCGCGAAGAUGAUGACGGCAGCGGGAGAAGAAGCCCCGGCUAACUCCGUGCCAGCAGCCGCGGUAAUACGGAGGGGGCAAGCGUUGUUCGGAU
rnacentral:rRNA from 1 species